UUGCUGCGGAAAUUUUAAAGCGUACGUUUGGUGUUUUUAUGGUUCGUGUGUGUCCAAUGAAUGCUGGAUAUUUUACACACAGUGAUUUUUUUUAUAUGGUGUUUUCUUUCAAAAAUUGUGAGAAUAAACAAUUUAAGAAAAAUAAAACGUGUGACGGUCGAUUGUUGUUUAUUAACAAAUUUAAAUAAUAAUACAAUAAUUUAAAGAAUUGUGUGCUAAAUUUUAUUUUACUGCCUUUAAAAUUGUUUAAAGCAAUAAAAAAGAAGGUUGAGAAAAAAAUAUUUCAUUUUACGAGGGAAUUGAAGUAAAAAAAAAAAAUUGUGUGAAAUGAAAAUAAUAAGAAAAAUUAAGUGAUAAUUGGAAAUUAUCAUAUUAAUCUGAAAAAAAUAUAUAUUUUUAUUGUUGUAGUUUUAUUUUUAUAAUAGAAGUUCAACGCCAUUAAAAAGGAAGAAAGGAAAUUUUCUUUGUGUGUGUGGAUUUAUGAAAAUAAAAAAGAAUUACAAAUUUCAAUUGAAAUAUAAAAAUUAUAUAGAAAAAAUGUAUAAUAAAGUUUUCUAGUGUUUUUGUUAAAUAAAAAAAAAAGAUUUGUACAGAAAUUUAAAAUUUUUAAUAAAUAUUAAGAAAAAAUCUUAAAAAUUCUUAUAAAAAUCUUAAGAAAUAUAAUAAUUAAAAUUUUCACAUUUGGCUGCUUUUUAUGGUGGAUUUUUUUUACUACUUUCCGGUCGAAAUUUAAAAUUUAAAAACCAAAUUUUCGUAAAAAUUCCAAACAAAAAUGGCCACCUAAAAAAUGAAUUAAAUAACAACUCCCUGCAAAACAAAAGCUUACAACAAAACCGCACAAAAAAAACCAACACAGUAUUUUUUACUACAACAAAAAUAGUGCAUCGGGUUCCAUUAGUGUUUGUUUAUAUAAACAAUAGAUACUAAACGCCAACAACCAACAAAAAAAAAAAAAAAAAAAAAAACUAAAAAUCGUUAAAAUAAUUUUCAAAUACAAAUUUAUUUCGGGUAACAUUUGCCAGGCUGUUUUGUCAACCUAUUGAUUAAGAUCUUUUUUUCUUCAUUGCCAAAUUCGGCCUAAAUCUAAGCAGAAAACUGCAUCUCCUGCUCAGUAUUUUUUUUUUUUUUUGGCGUGUCCCCCAAAACUGAUGAAACCAUUUUAGGCCAGAAAACGAUAUCUAGAGAAAAAACGUAACAAUUUCAUAGAUUAAAAAUAGGAAAAAAAAAAUACCAAACAUUUUGCUGAUGGAAAAUCUCAUUUAAAACAACUGCCAGUAGAACAUACUAAAUACAACAAUAACGUAAAAUCGUUGUUACGAUUUAACUAUUCCUCCGUUUAAACAACUAAAGCAUUUAGAAAACAACUCCAAGCAGAGACGCAAUUAACAAAAAUAAAAUCGAAACUAAAAUUCCAACAUCAUCUGUAAUCCAUUCGGGUUCGUUAUGCAUCAUUGUUUGUAUUACAAUUUCCAACAGUGGUAAAAUUUUCCAAAACUACUACGGACAAACAGCACAAAAAAAAAAAAAAACAGCAAAAACAACACAAUUGAUGGAUACAAUUUUCCUGUAACCAAAAAAUAGUUUGCACCACCACCGGCUAAACUAAAGCAACCACUUGCCACCCUAAAAUCUAAACAAUUUCCAUUGUUGUUUGGCGGUGUUGUAUUUGCUCCAAUACUUCCUGUCGUUUUUUUUUUU